CAAAGAUUAAGCCAUGCAAGUCUAAGUAUAAGCAAUUUAUACAGCGAAACUGCGAAUGGCUCAUUAAAUCAGUUAUGAUCUACAUGACAAAUUUUUUACUACUGGAUAACCGUGGUAAUUCUAGAGCUAAUACAUGCAAAAAAAGCCCCAACUUCGGAAGGGGUGCACUUAUUAGGUAAAAACCAUCCCACCCUUACCGGUGGUUUUAUGGUGAUUCAUAAUAAUUAAGCUGAUCGCAUGGCCUUGCGCCGGCGACGGUACAUUCGAUUUUCUGCCCUAUCAGGCUUAUGAUGGUAAGGUAGUGGCUUACCAUGGCUAUCACGGGUAACGGGGAAUUAGGGUUCGAUUCCGGAGAGGGAGCCUGAGAAACGGCUACCACAUCCAAGGAAGGCAGCAGGCGCGCAAAUUACCCAAUCCCGACACGGUGAGGUAGUGACAAUAAAUAACAAUGCAGGGUCUUUAUGGUCUUUGCAAUUGGAAUGAGUACAAUUUAAAUCCCUUAACGAGGAUCAAUUGGAGGGCAAGUCUGGUGCCAGCAGCCGCGGUAAUUCCAGCUCCAAAAGCGUAUAUUAAAGUUGUUGCAGUUAAAACGUCCGUAGUCGAACUUACGCCUUGUUGGCUGGGCAGCUGGUCAUUCAUUUGGCUAGAUUUGCCUCAGUCCGGGUGACAAAGUUUGGGUAUGAUCAUGUUGGCUUCGGUCGGCGUGGUUCUCUGCCCAAGCGUAUUACCAUGAGCAAAUCAGAAUGCUCAAAGUAGGCCUUCGUGCCUGAAUGUGUUAGCAUGGAAUAAUAAAAUAGGACCUUAGUCUUGUUUUGUUGGUAUACUAGACCUUAGGAAAUGAUGAAUAGGAACGGUUGGGGGCAUUUGUAUUUGGUCGCUAGAGGUGAAAUUCUUGGAUUGACCGAAGACAAACUACUGCGAAAGCAUUUGACCUAGGACGUUUCCAUUGAUCAGGGACUAAAGUUGAGGGAUCGAAGACGAUUAGAUACCGUCGUAGUCUUAACCACAAACUAUGCCGACUAGCGAUUGGAUCCUCGCCACUGGCAGGAUUCAGCAGCUUAGCGAAAGUAAAGUUUUUGGGUUCUGGGGGGAGUAUGGGACGCAAGGCUGAAACUUAAAGGAAUUGACGGAAGGGCACCACCAGGAGUGGAGCCUGCGGCU
rnacentral:rRNA from 1 species